rnacentral:rRNA from 1 species
GUCUACGGCCAUACUACCCUGAACGCGCCCGAUCUUGUCUGAUCUCGGAAGCUAAGCAGGGUCGGGCCUGGUUAGUACUUGGAUGGAAGAAUCUGGCAGAAUAUUUCUUGUUUAGGUU